rnacentral:rRNA from 1 species
UACGUAGGGUCCAAGCGUUGUCCGGAAUUAUUGGGCGUAAAGAGCUCGUAGGUGGCCUGUCGCGUCGGCUGUGAAAACUCGGGGCUCAACUCCGAGCUUGCAGUCGAUACGGGCAGGCUAGAGUUCGGCAGGGGAGACUGGAAUUCCUGGUGUAGCGGUGAAAUGCGCAGAUAUCAGGAGGAACACCGGUGGCGAAGGCGGGUCUCUGGGCCGAUACUGACACUGAGGAGCGAAAGCGUGGGGAGCGAACAGG